rnacentral:lncRNA from 1 species
GGGUACGAAAGAGGAACCCGGGGGCGCGGGGUGAGUGAAGGGCUGGGGCGGGAGGGGGCGGCAGGCCGGACAAAGACCUGGAGGAAGGGGUUGUUGCGGGCCGCCUGAGGCCCAGCGGACUCCCCCAGUGUCCGGCCGUCCACCGCCGCCUCGCCCGGGAUCCGGGAGGAAGUGCGGUGGGCGCGCAGCCGGACGCAGGGCCAGAGGGCUGCGAGGAGGCGCCCUGGAGCCGGCAGGGCGCGGGCUCGGAGGAGGCCGGGGCGGCCCUGGGUCCCGGGGCUGCCCAGUAGUGCGGUCAGCGACUCGGGUCUCCAGCUCUGUUGGUCCACUACGCCGAAGCGGCGUUCAGCGUGCAGCUUGGGCCGGGUGUGGACGCGUUUCUUACUGCAYGUCGGCAAAUGCCCCCGCACCUCUUGGCUGAAUUCUGCACUGCAGAGCCCUGCAGAUUUGAAGCCUCAAACUGGAACAUCUCUGCAUUUUUCCUGAGGACCUGCCUGGAAAGGAAGUGGGGACUGCUGCUGUGGAAGUGUCCUUGGUGCCAAGGUGUCCUACAGUGUGCUGCUCCCACCCCGCAGCUGUGUUUAAGUGCAGAGUUUCCUGGAGGCCCC